UCAAAAUAAGUCAAUUCGAGCUGUGAGGCAAAUACAUCUACUACAAGCAUUCCCACUGGCAACACCUCAAGUCCUUAAAGAAAUAUUUACUUUACGUUAAUUGAAUCGCUUAAUUAAUUGCUUUGGCAUGUUUUAAUGAACUCUUAAAUGAAAAUUUUAUACGCUCGGAAGGCAAUCGAUUCCAUAAGAAAGUCAAAGUUGAAUUAUUGAACAGCCACAAAGUCGCCUAUUAGUAGCAAACUCAAAUAAUCACAGUAAUAAUAUGAUUUGGCAACAACGCCCAGUGCAGCUGUGUGCGCUUAGUUGCGAGUCUACAAUUCGGUCAAUUGCGCCUGUAUGCAGCAGUGGAGUAGAAAUGAAAAUCAAUGGUCCUUCAAUGGCUUCUAAGUAAAACACAUGCCGGUGGGCAGUAAGUGAUGGCUUAUUUUAAAGCGAAUUAAUUGAAAGUCAUGGAAAAUAAGUUUGCUGCUGCUUUGACAAAAUUUCAUGCUACAGGUCAAACCAAAAUAUGAUACAUAUGGAUAUGAGGAAAUGAAUGUGAAUAUUAAUACUAUAUUUGUCGCCUUAA